GGCGCCGUUGCCGGGGAUUGGCAUAUCUGGUUGUAUUGUAUAAUUAAUUAUCUAAUCUUAGCAUUAAAAUGAAUGAAUUUUGAAGGAGAUCAAGUUUUGUUUUUACUGUUUAAGUGUUUUCUUAAGUUUGUUUGAAUUUGGAUACCUUUUGAUUUAUGCAAACUAGAUCACAAGGUGGUCAAAACCUUUGUCCUUUAAACCAAGAACUCUCUAGAGAGUUAAGGAAGUUGAAGAAAGGCUCAUCCAAUCAGUUGAAAGAGUUUGAACCAGUGGAGAUAAACAUGGAAACCGGUGAAUCUAGCAACCCAGGCCAAAUGUCUCCCGGAGGAAGUAGUUCCCGAGCAAGCCCGAGUCAAGGAGCACACACGGAGGCUCAACCCAAUACCUCUCAAGAUCCAGUGGCACCGACCACUAUGUUGUGGCAGCGGAUGAUGGUAGCGCAGGCAGUAGUAUUUUUGGUUUAAUGAUGAUGUUUUGGAGGGUUGUUAUGUCUGCCAUAAUAAUAAUUCCUAUGCUCAUCUUUGCUUGUGGAGACUGUGACGACGUCGACGAUGAUAGAAAGAGGUCACGGGCAGGCAGUGCCGCAGCAGGAAGGUAUCUCAGUCAUAGUUGCUAGCGGUGGCGGCAGCGGCAGCGGCGUCAGUUGUUAAAUAUGUAUGUAUGCAUGUAUGCGUCUAUUAUAUGUGGUUUAUUAGUUUAUAUACAAUUUGUGGUGUACAAGCUAAGAGUGAGUCUCCAUGGGUUAAUGAUUAAAAUGAGAUGAAAAAAAUAUGAGAGUGAACAAAAUAUGAGAGUAGAUAAAAAUAUGAAGAUUUUAAAAGUCGGAUAAAAAUAAGAAAAAAAUAUUUGGGACUUGCAUUUCAAAGUCAGAAAUCAAGUCCCAAAUGCUCUUUUCUUAUUUUUGUCUAGUUUCUAAAAUCAUCAUAUUUUUGUCAAUUCCUCUAUUUUUCGUCUCAUUUCAUUCAUUAACCUGAGUCUCCAUAUGACAUCUUUAUAAAGUAACUAGUUUUAUACGCGCAUUGCGCGAAUGGGUUAA